UACGUAGGGUGCAAGCGUUGUCCGGAAUUAUUGGGCGUAAAGAGCUCGUAGGCGGUUUGUCGCGUCUGCUGUGAAAACUGGAGGCUCAACCUCCAGCCUGCAGUGGGUACGGGCAAACUAGAGUGCGGUAGGGGAGAUUGGAAUUCCUGGUGUAGCGGUGGAAUGCGCAGAUAUCAGGAGGAACACCGGUGGCGAAGGCGGGUCUCUGGGCCGAUACUGACGCUGAGGAGCGAAAGCGUGGGGAGCGAACAGG
rnacentral:rRNA from 1 species